UACGAAGGUCCCAAGCGUUGUUCGGAAUCACUGGGCGUAAAGGGUGCGUAGGCGGUUUGGUAAGUCAGAUGUGAAAUCCCGAGGCUCAACCUCGGAACUGCAUCCGAUACUGCCAGACUAGAGGACUGGAGAGGUGACUGGAAUUCUCGGUGUAGCAGUGAAAUGCGUAGAGAUCGAGAGGAACACUCGUGGCGUAAGCGAGUCACUGGACAGUAUCUGACGCUGAGGCACGAAGGCCAGGGUAGCGAAAGGG
rnacentral:rRNA from 1 species